UACGGAGGGGGCUAGCGUUGUUCGGAAUUACUGGGCGUAAAGCGCGCGUAGGCGGACCUGCAAGUCGGGGGUGAAAGCCCGGGGCUCAACCCCGGGAGGCGGAUGGAUACUGCCAGGCUCGAGUCCGGAAGAGGCAAGUGGAAUUCCCGGUGUAGCGGUGAAAUGCGCAGAUAUCGGGAGGAACACCAAUGGCGAAGGCAGCUUGCUGGGACGGUACUGACGCUGAGAAGCGAAAGCAUGGGGAGCGAACAGG
rnacentral:rRNA from 1 species